GGGUGAGUAAUGCGUGACCAACCUGCCCCAUGCUCCAGAAUAGCUCUUGGAAACGGGUGGUAAUGCUGGAUGCUCCAACUUGACGCAUGUCUUGUUGGGAAAGUGUUUAGUGGCAUGGGAUGGGGUCGCGUCCUAUCAGCUUGUAGGCGGGGUAAUGGCCCACCUAGGCUUCGACGGGUAGCCGGCCUGAGAGGGCGGACGGCCACAUUGGGACUGAGAUACGGCCCAGACUCCUACGGGAGGCAGCAGGC
rnacentral:rRNA from 1 species